CGUGUAUCUGCAGCAUCUUUGAUGGUCCUGUGUUCUACGGUGUACCACUUGAGACACAGGAUGCUUGGCAGAGCUUGCUGAGCCUGGAAUGAGGAGGGGUGUUAACAGUCCUCGCUGCACAUCCUAGCUAUUUCCUGAUGACUGACUAAUGCUGCUAGGAGAGAAUGUAGGAAAGAAGAGAGUUCUCCAAUUGACAGGAAGCAAAAAAGAAAUGAUUGUCAAGGGCUGGCAGUGCUUCUAGUUUAAAGACAGACACAAUUUAGAUACCAUUGAGAUCCCACUGCAGGAUGAAGCUUAAUGAGGUCUGUGUGGUCACAGAGGGAUAAAACACUGUGGGAUCAGAUGUGGCCCUGUGUUGUGCGUGAGAGCAAGACCUUUGAGCUAUACAAUUUAAAUGAAUUCUGCAGCAAGUUAAAGGUAUGA
rnacentral:lncRNA from 1 species